rnacentral:rRNA from 1 species
UACGGAGAGUGCAAGCGUUGUUCGGAAUUACUGGGCGUAAAGGGUGUCUAGGCGGCUUGGCAAGUCAGGUGUGAAAGCCCUCGGCUCAACCGAGGAAGUGCAUCUGAAACUGCUGAGCUUGAGUACUGGAGGGGGUAGCGGAAUUCCCGGUGUAGAGGUGAAAUUCGUAGAGAUCGGGAGGAACACCUGUGGCGAAGGCGGCUACCUGGACAGAUACUGACGCUGAAGCACGAAAGCGUGGGGAGCAAAC